UACGUAGGUGGCGAGCGUUAUCCGGAAUUACUGGGUGUAAAGGGUGUGUAGGCGGGGAUGCAAGUCAGAUGUGAAAUUCAUGGGCUCAACCUAUGGUGUGCAUUUGAAACUGUAUUUCUUGAGUGUGGGAGAGGUAAGCGGAAUUCCUAGUGUAGCGGUGAAAUGCGUAGAUAUUAGGAGGAACACCAGUGGCGAAGGCGGCUUACUGGACCACAACUGACGCUGAGACACGAAAGCGUGGGGAGCAAACAGGAUUAGAUACCCUGGUAGUCCACGCUGUAAACGAUGAAUGCUAGGUGUAGGGGGCUUGACCUUCUGUGCCGGAGUAAACACAAUAAGCAUUCCACCUGGGGAGUACGGCCGCAAGGUUGAA
rnacentral:rRNA from 1 species